rnacentral:rRNA from 1 species
GACAGAGGGUGCAAACGUUGUUCGGAUUUACUGGGCGUAAAGCGUGUGUAGGCGGCUUGGCAAGUUGGAUGUGAAAGCCCACGGCUCAACCGUGGAAGCGCACCCAAAACUGCUUCGCUCGAGUCUCGGAGAGGAAGGUGGAAUGCUUGGUGUAGAGGUGAAAUUCGUAGAUAUCGGGAGGAACACCAGUGGCGAAGGCGACUACCUGGCCUGUUCUUGACGCUGAGGCGCGAAAGCUAGGGGAGCAAACGGG